GGCUCUUUGCUUAUAUAAAUAUAAAGAGUCGAGCCUGCCCAGUGAAUAUUUUAACGGCCGCGGUACUCUGACCGUGCAAAGGUAGCAUAAUCAUUUGCCUUAUAAUUGAAGGCUAGUAUGAAUGGUUUGACGAGAGCAGCACUGUCUCCUUUUUAUUUUCAAGAACUUAACUUUUAGGUGAAGAGGCCUAAAUUUUAUUGAAGGACAAGAAGACCCUGUCGAGCUUAAAAGACAUCAUAGAGGUUUAGUAUAGCUUUAAAUAAAUUUCUAGCGGGCUUUUUAGUUGGGGCGACUAAGGAACAAAAAAAGCUUCUUCUUAACAAUAAACAGUCAUGUUUAGAUCCGAUGUUAACGAUUGAAGGAAUUAGUUACCGCAGGGAUAACAGCAUAAUCUCUCUUAAGAGACCUAAUCGAAAGAGGGGGUUGUGACCUCGAUGUUGGACUAGAAUAUCCUAAAGAUGCAGAAGUCUUUGAGGGUUGGUCUGUUCGACCAUUAAAAUUCU
rnacentral:rRNA from 1 species